rnacentral:rRNA from 1 species
AUAUGAAGGCGGGCUGGAACCUCUCGGGGUUACAGCCUUGCUGAAUUAUUCACCCUUGUCUUUUGCGUACUUCUUGUUUCCUUGGUGGGUUCGCCCACCACUAGGACAAACAUAAACCUUUUGUAAUUGCAAUCAGCGUCAGUAACAAAUUAAUAAUUACAACUUUCAACAACGGAUCUCUUGGUUCUGGCAUCGAUGAAGAACGCAGCGAAAUGCGAUAAGUAGUGUGAAUUGCAGAAUUCAGUGAAUCAUCGAAUCUUUGAACGCACAUUGCGCCCUUUGGUAUUCCAAAGGGCAUGCCUGUUCGAGCGUCAUUUGUACCCUCAAGCUUUGCUUGGUGUUGGGCGUCUUGUCUCUAGCUUUGCUGGAGACUCGCCUUAAAGUAAUUGGCAGCCGGCCUACUGGUUUCGGAGCGCAGCACAAGUCGCACUCUCUAUCAGCAAAGGUCUAGCAUCCAUUAAGCCUUUUUUUCAACUUUUGACCUCGGAUCAGGUAGGGAUACCCGCUGAACUUAAGCAUAUCAAUAAGCGGA